AUUGAGUGUUUUCUUCUUUCCCUAUGUGUUUCGUCACUCCCACAGGUUGCCUGGGAACGUUGGAGGCGUAGACGAAAUAUCCGUGAUUCGCAGCUGACUCCAAAGUGGAGUAGGAGCCAACCUGUUCCUUGAGGAAGAUGAAGGGCAGACGCUCGUCAUGGUUCAGACCCCUUGGACGAUCACCUGAGUGGCUGGAAGCCGCAGAAGCAAGGCUGAGGUCCGGCACCAGGGGGCCUCUUGCUGAUGAUAGGAGUCAAAGACAAAAGGACUCACGGUCAGUGUUCACAUGUGAGCUGCCAUCCAAAAAGGAUAUUGUCCAAGCUGAGAACACAAUGGGAGAGGUGGAGGCAGAACGUGCAUAGAUAGGAGGAUAUUGGUUUUGGAAACUUCCAACCCUAGGAAACCUCUCUUCGUGCCCCUAAUGCCUACAGGACCUUGCCUUAUCUCUCCUUGGGAAUGUUGCUUAAUGUCACAGGGCCAGAUCAUUCCAAUUUGUAAUGGAAUUCUAUUUAG